AUUUGGGUUUAUGGACGCAGACUCUAUGAGAGCGCACUGAAAUAGACAGACUGGGGAAUAACCCCCCCGGGGGGGCAGUUUUAUGUCUGUGCUGUUAGAUUAGACAACUCAGAUUACUUAUAAAUAUAAAAAGAAAAAAAAAUAGUGAGAGGUCCCCGAUCCCCUGAUUCAUGAGGCCACUUCUGAGAUGUGGUGGAUGUUGGACAGGGUGAGCUGCGCCUCCCGCGCUGGGUAGAAACGUCUUGAGCGAAGCCACAGCCUCCCGAACACUCCUGUGAUCAGCAGCAAGACGACCAGCAACCCUCCGAGGACAAAGGUCUCCACAGGAGGGACCCCGCCUGCAUCUACAGAGAAAGGACACAGCACUCGCAGCGAGGAGGACCUGAUGUGCCGGUUGAUCUCCUCCACCCACUGGUGGCAGAUGGAGCUCGGCGAGAUGAUGAGGGUGGCACCGGUGGAGACAGGCUUCAUGGCGACCAGGCAGUGAGGGCAGUAGAAAGGAGGAUCAUCCAUUCUGGGCAUGUCCUGUGUGUCUGACUCACAUUUAUCCUGAGACACCUGUGAGGAUGUUGUGGAUGUAUCCUGCAUGUCGUCUGACUGAUCCGCUUUCGCAUUCAGACUUUCAUCCCAUUCCUUGGUUUCUGUUUCCUCUGGUGCUAGACAGUCAGAUGUAGUUCUUCCCCAGCUUAAAUGACCCCGCCAAGCCUCGACCUUUCACCCGGUCAACCAGGCCUUCGUCUAUCAGCUUCACCAGAGUCUUCCGGAUGUGGUUGCGGUUUUUUAAGAGGUCAUAACCGUAGGUGGCACGAAUGUAGGUGAAGAUGGCGUUGACGGAGGCUCCUUUGCCAGAUCUCAUCUCCUUGAUUGCAGUGAGGAGCAUGAUACGCACAGCUGCACAAAAAUAAUGCAAAACAUUAUUAUUUAAACUGCAGUUACAAUAAAAGAGGGGAUGUCUAAGAGGAUGGUGAGUGACAUACUUGGGUAGGAUAUUUUAAUUUUAGGCUGAACUUCAGACUUGCAGCGGAUAACUUUCUUUCUUUCAAGGGGAGGAGGAGGUACGAAGUAAUUUACGGAUUUUCCCUGCAAGACGAAAAGAGAUUAAAAAAUUCACACUUUCACAAUGUAGCUGAUGCCUUCUAUGCAGAACAUUAUACAAAUAUUCCUAUCACUGUUAAUUAUCAUCCACAACACAAAUAGGGUGAAGGUUAAAAGAGAGACAAAGAAGGGAAGAAAAAGGUGAUAUUCUGUAUUUUUAGCUGUAGCUGCCUACUGAUCCUCACCACAGGCAGGCUAAGGGCCUCCUGCUCCAGGUCCUGUCGAGUGUGAAAUAGGAUAAGAGCCAGAACUUCCACCGUCUUUCCCAGCCCCAUUUCAUCAGCCAAUAUCCCACCAGGCCACUCUACACCCGCCAGGGGAAAUUCUCGGAUUAAGCUGAAAAAUAAAAUAAAUAAAUAAAACCGCUGAAAACCAAAAAUACUUUAAUUUAGCACUAAAAAAAAACGACAAAAUGUAACUGUGCAUCCACAUACGGACACCAAAAUGUCAAAUUAAAGGGUCAGUUCAGCCAAAUUCAAAAAAACAUAUUAUCCCAGUUGCCUUUACUGGUAUCAAGCCAUGCAAAUAGGUUUUGCUUUUAUGUGCUCUGGACAUUUUCUCUGGAAAGACACAUUGCUUUUGAGUUUUUAAAAUGCCUUUUUUUAAUGUUUUAAUCACCAUAAAGACAUUUUAUUCAUCCCAGCUGCAUAGUGGUGGCAGCAGACUUUUGGGUAGAUAGCACUGGUGGUAAAACACAAAAUAUGCUUUUGUGAUUUAAGUGAACUGACCUGUUAACAUUCAAGUUCUUACCAGCCGGUAAAAGGGUUGUAGAACAACUUCUUGCCACACAAAGCGAUCAACUCACGCCAGAGGAAAUGCAGCAAUUGUUCUGCAAAUAAAUGAUAAACAUUGACAAUCUCACUCAAUCUCAGCACUACUCUGGAAAUGCUACUAAAAGUUCCAGGUUCCAGUUUUAUGCUAAAGAAAUGCAACACACAUGCUCAUUUGCAACACAGCAAACACACACAGCAAGACAGUCUGCUCUCAUAGACCUCAUAAGUAUACAAUGUAAGUUGCACAUUAGAGAAUGGUUGAUAACGUUGAUCAAAUUAAGUUUUGUAGUUAAAUGCAAAGCCACUGGUACAGCCCCCUCUCCUGUCAAGAGUGCAGCAAGGAAGUGAUGUACAGGUGUAUCAGACAAAAAGUGAGUACCUUUAGGUGAAGUGUUCCUGGUUUUCUCUCUCCUCAGCAUCCAGUUGACGGCCUGUCUCUGAUAGGGUCUGAGAACAGGAACAAGAGCUUUGUGCUGGACGUCGUAGGUCACCUCCCGGCUCUCUCUCUGGUGCAGAUGCCUGACGUAAUCGUAGAGCUCCUCAACAUUUUGCCUCUCCAGAGCUGCACCACCCUCCUCUUCUGCAUCCAGUCGAGGUCCUCCAGCGGGAUCACAGUGAGGCUGCACUCCACAGUGCAAGUGUCCCCAUCGGGCUUCCACUGCUGUCCCGAGCUCUCAUCACAGCUGCUGUAACUGA